AGCAGCCGCGGUAAUUCCAGCUCCAAUAGCGUAUAUUAAAGUUGUUGCAGUUAAAAAGCUCGUAGUUGAAUUUCGGGGUUCUACUGUUGGUCGGGCAAUUGUCUGUACUGGCAUGUGGAAUUUCUACCUUCUGGGGAACCAUCAUGUUAUUAAUUUAGCGUGGUGGGAAACCAGGACCUUUACCUUGAAAAAUUAGAGUGUUCAAAGCAGGCUUACGUCUGAAUACAUUAGCAUGGAAUAAUAAAAUAGGACGGUGGUCCUGUUUUGUUGGUUUCUGAAUCACCGUAAUGAUUAAUAGGGAUAGUUGGGGGCAUUAGUAUUCAAUUGUCAGAGGUGAAAUUCUUGGAUUUAUUGAAGACUAACUUCUGCGAAAGCAUUUGCCAAGGAUGUUUUCAUUAAUCAAGAACGAAAGUUAGGGGAUCGAAGACGAUCAGAUACCGUCGUAGUCU
rnacentral:rRNA from 1 species